UAGCUCAAUCGGUAGAGCGUGAGACUCUUAAUCUCAAGGUUGUGGGUUCGACCCGU
rfam:Colletotrichum orchidophilum strain IMI 309357 Scaffold_20.1, whole genome shotgun sequence.